CAUCCCGAUAACAAGUGGGUUGUUUGAAGGCGUUAGCAAUCUACGCAAUCUUGAUAUUAGCUUUACUGGCCACGCCAUCCUCAAACCCGGGACAUUUAAACGUCUAUCUGAGCUCCAGAAGCUGAACAUGAAUUACGUGAAUGUGGGAAACUACACAACAGACGUUCUUGCUGACCUAACA